AAUGAGCUGAGCGACCCCGCCUCCUUCCGUCCCCAGAAGGGCGGGGCCACAGGAGGAUGGAGUGGGCGGCUGUUGCGGGGGAGGGGGAGAUGAGAGGAGGGGAGGGAAGAGGUGCGACUGUCAUCCCCACUUACUGGGUUUAUCUCUCCCUGAGGGAUGGGAAGGAGGAGGGGACCCCCAUGACUAGGGGACCCAUGCCUUCUUUAAGCGGGAAGCUACUCAGGCCUUCUAGGGAUUGUGGGGUCUUGUAGCGCCUGUCCGAGGUGGGUAGGAGGGAGAAGCCCCACUCUCCCCUGGAGCAUGACUGGUUUUAAAUCAGAUUUAGAAAAUCUCCCCGGACUCGGAGGGUUCCGGGAGCUACCCCUGAAACACCCCGGGCCGCGUUUGUGGAGGCAUCAGUCACUUUACCCCCCCUUGUAUGGAAAAUAAGGGGAUGAGGUUAGGUGGCCAUCCUUUCCUCGUGUGAGCCUAGAAAGUCUGUUGGAUUGCUGCGACAUGAGGGCCGGGGAUGUGCAAGCAGCAUUAGCCCCUCGCGUGCGGGGCUGUCCCAACACCCUUGGUGUUGGGGAUACAGAAACGGUAGCUCGCCCAGGAGCCACACCCUGCUAAAAGCCGGCUCAGUGUAGGGGGAUUAGGCUAGAUUGAAGACAACAAAGCGGUAUCAGAGCCGGAGAGCUGGGGACCCGCUCCCCAAGCACCGGAAGCCUUUCCCCGGAGUAGGUCUGAGAAGAGUUGUCCUAAAAGCCGCGAAGGCAGAGGCACUGGGCACCGAGGAGAGCAGAGAGCUCGGUCUGACCGGUGGUCGUCACCAGGCCGCCUGACUUUUGUCCUGCUACUGAACUUUGAGGACACUAAGAGCGGCCAGUGAGCCAUGGAACUCUGCCUGGCUCCGGUUAAAGAAGGCAGCCUUGGGAUGCCUCGAGUGCAGCCCCCUUCUCAAAAGGCCCAGCCGACCCUCCGAGUCCCACGUGUUGUGCCUACAAUCCUAUGAAACCGCGAACAGGGAAGUCGGCAUGUUUAAAUCUAGAGACCUAACUCCCCCAUCGGAGCCCCUUGACUUCACUUUGAAUUCGAGUUUUUCAUUUUAAUCCAAAGGUAGGCUUUGGAUUAGCAGGAGUUUUGUAAUGCACCAUUUCCCUUUUGCAAGCCUCUGCAGUGUCCCCUACCCCAUCUGAGAGCAACUCAGAAGUGUUUCUUCCCUCACUAACUCUCAGAAACCUGGUGACCGGGACUAUGAAGGGCAAACCUCCUUUCAAAAAUCCUGGUAAGGGCGGUUGUUAGGUGAAGGAGCUGCUAGGGGAUAUGGAGUACCCACUCUUACUUAUCUUGAGCAGAAGGAGUGCCCAUCUCUGAAGCUGAAUUCUGCCUUUUCAUCAUCCUUCUCUGGCAUCUUGGCGUGGUCCCUGACAAUCUUUUCUCUAACAAUCAGUAUCCCUUCCUUCUAUAGAACUGUUUCAACAAUAUUAAGCAAGGAAAAAUGUAAAUCAGUAAUGCUUUUUGGAUGGAUUUGCAUUUUAUUCAUCACAGUAUCUACCUACAUUUGAAAACGUUUAAUACAAAGACAUGGAAACAUUUGUUCAGUUCAAAGAAACCUUAUUUGUUCAUUCCACACUGCAUAUGGAUUGUAAGACCCAGGCAAAAGCCCUAUGACCCAAAGGCCCAUAAGUGAGGUGGUCCCCACAAAAAUUGCAGAUACACUUUUUAAUAGCUGCGAUAAAUGUAAACUACUUUUAGAUUUCUCCUCUGGAUAGUGGGCCCACAAGUAUCUAGGGAAACGGCCCUUCCCUCUCUCAACCCUUGGCCUCCAGCUCCCCAAACCCCAUUUCCUCCAUGAAGGGUAAUCGCGGGACUUCGUUCGCGAAGGACCGGGGCAGCUGGCCUAGCACAGGCUGGGAGAGGCUUGGCGGGGGCUCUCUGGGAAGUGGGCAAAGCUAGCAGACCCCUCCCCCUUCCAAAGCAGGGUUCCCUUUGCCCUUUAUGAUGUGUGUUUACAUGUGCGGAGGGAUCCAGCUCCAGCUGACAGCCACACCACGCCCGGAUCUUCUUUUUUUAAAGAGCCUCGCCGCUGCCAGUGAUUGGCAGAAGCCGGGGUCGCAUCAGCCUUCGGGGGGCGGGGCCCAGGCCGCAUUGUCUCGGCUGGGGCCAGCGGGGCGCCCCCGAGGUCGGAUCGCACAGCCGCUGGGGUGGGGGCUCCGAGGUGGGAAGGUGGGAGGGCUGGGAGGGAAGUGCGGAGUAAGGCCCGGCCUGCAUCUAGGCUGAGUUACCGGUGGCGUCAGCGCGGGAUGGCUGAGGCUCCAACGAACCCCGGAUAGUCAUGCCACGUCUUCGGGACCCCCCCCCAACCCUCAGCUCCACCCUGGUCUUCAUCCCACCGCCAAGGCCAUGGUCGUUCUUCUCCGGCAUGAUGCCCCACAGCUCCCCUCAAAUCUCCGUGCACCCCAAACCGUAGGCUCAACCCUCUCACUCAACUUUAAAGGGUCAGCUGCUGUCAUCCCGAUCUGCGCAAUCUGCGCCAGAGCCCUCGAACAGCUAUCUGCGUGACGGCCUCCCACCCCAUCCUCGCACGGACACUGACAACAGCUUCCCCCUUUUAUUCUUUUCCUUCAUGCCGGAGAUGAGUCGAGGCCGAUGCGAAAGAUUCUCUGCUCCCAGAUUCGGGAAAACAGUUUGUAGUCAAACCAAUUCGUUAUGGAAACCCACUGAGAAGACUUUAAUCUGCAAAGUCCUCCCCAUGACAUGUAAAUUUCAUUUUAUAAAAGCUGUUACUUCAGAAGCCAAAAACUUGAGAAAGAAACCCCCUAUGUUGGCCAUCAUGCGCUGGUCCUUCAGACACUCCAUCAUCAUGUUAGCAGGCUUGGGCCUCCUAUGGCUUUUCAUCAAUUUGGGAACUUCAAAGAUGAAUGAAAACAUCUAUCUCCUGCAGAUCUGAGAUACAAAUGGAGAAAUGGGAUGGUGGAAUUUACCCAGGAAUGAAGAUUCAGAAAUCACUAAUGAAGCAAAGAAAAAGAAGAAAAAGAACAACAGGAAAGAUAGAAAAAUAAAUUAAAGCCUUUCUUCUAUUUCCUUGGAGCAGUAUACCAGCUAAAAAGAAAAUAGUAACAGAUUUUUCUAUCCAAACUAAUAACAGCAAUGGAGAAGACAUGGACAUAUUCACAAGAUAAGGAAGCAGCUAAUAGGUCAGAACAAAAUCUGUGUUCUGCCUAGGCCCUUUCAGAUGGAGUAAUCAGCAGACACAAAUAGACUGUCACUGCUGGCAGUGGAAUGGAGCAUAUCUGCCUGCUGGAUGAACAUAUUCAUCUCCUACUGUCUUCUGAAACACUUUGAAGAUGUCUCUAAGGGUUAAAACUUGUUUUUCCUCAAGAAAUAAAACUAAGUUCUAUCCAGAACAGCUCUAAGAAUGAGGGGCACCUGCAGAAGAGUACAGAGGUGCUUCAUGAGCUCAGCUUUCAAUACCUGGUAGGAGCUCUACCCCUAGAGAAAACUAAGUUUCCAAGAAGGUAGUGCCCAAGAGGGUUUCAACAAGUCUAUUGCAAAGACUGAGGAAGAAAAGGAAGGAAAGAAGAGAAGACAGAUCAAAUUGAAGAAGAAAGAAUAAGAACUAUAUAUAGAAAGAGGAAAUUGAUAUUAUAAGGGCUAUUUCACAGUGUCCCUAUAUCCCCCAGAUUCCUAGAGAUUUCUAGAGGUGAUAUAAUAUUAUAUUUCAUUUAUUGUACUUAUCUGUAUGUACCCUAUAUCUAUUCAUGUUACCUCUCCUGUAGAAUGUUAGCUCUUUGAGAGCGGGAAUUGUAUUUAUAAUGUAUGGCUCAUAGUAAGUACUUAAUACCUAUUGGUUGAUUAAUAAUUUACCCUUGAUCAUAAAUUAAUAGGAAUAAAAGAAGUAGGGGGAAAGAAGAGACAAGAUAGUCCCAGAGAGCUCUCAUUCCUUAGUUGCAAACUGUCUUGUCAUUCUUUCCAGUGCUAACUGUAUCUCUUACUAACUUCCCAGGAUUGCUGUCUGUGGACCCAUGUUCAGUCUAUCAUUCUAAGGUAAAUUACCUCCCAAGUAUCUUGGAGUCUGUAUUCAAGUCUCCUUCCAAAUCUGACCUGAGAAACAUCACUGUAUUGGUUCACCUGGCUGAUCUCAAUUCUGCCAGCUCAACUAGACUAUUUUUAUUUUCAUUAGGGCGAAAGAUCUGUUUUCUUUCACAACUUGACUUUUAUGGAAAUGCUUUGCAUAACUGCACAUGUGACUUCUUAAUUGUGGGUGGGGUUAAGGGAAAGAACCUAAAACUCAAAAAUCUUAAAAACAAAUGUAAAAAAAUGUUUUGAAUGUAACUGGGAGAAAAUCUUAAAUAAAUAAGAGAAAAUUUAAAAAAGAAAAGAAAAGAACUGGAAUGCCCUAGUCCAUAUUUCAGGGAGACUAGAAUUCUAUGUUUAUGAGGAUUAGGAGAAUGGAAAUGGCUCAAUGAACACGCUCUUAUUUUCCUAUCUUCAAGAAAGGUAUU